ensembl:lncRNA
CCCAGGAUGGAGGAGGACCAGGCACAGUUGGGGCUGCUUUUGGGCCUGGGCUGGAGUGGGGCCUGGCACAGAUGGGGCAGAUUUGGGGCCCGGGCUGGAGCAGGCACAGUUGAGGCCUUGUCUGGGCCCAGACGAAAGGGAGCCCAGGCACAGCCUGUGCCUUGGGGCCUAGGAUGGAGGAGGACCUGGCACAGUUGGGGCUGCCUGUGGUCCCAGGAUGGAGGAGGACCAGGCACAGUUGGGGCUGCUUUGGGGCCCAGGAUGGAGGAGGACCAGGCACAGUUGGGGCUGCUUUGGGGCCCAGGAUGGAGGAGGACCAGGCACAGUUGGGGCUGCUUUUGGGCCUGGGCUGGAGUGGGGCCUGGCACAGAUGGGGCAGAUUUGGGGCCCGGGCUGGAGCAGGCACAGUUGAGGCCUUGUCUGGGCCCAGACGAAAGGGAGCCCAGGCACAGCCUGUGCCUUGGGGCCUAGGAUGGAGGAGGACCUGGCACAGUUGGGGCUGCCUGUGGUCCCAGGAUGGAGGAGGACCAGGCACAGUUGGGGCUGCUUUGGGGCCCAGGAUGGAGGAGGACCAGGCACAGUUGGGGCUGCUUUUGGGCCUGGGCUGGAGUGGGGCCUGGCACAGAUGGGGCAGAUUUGGGGCCCGGGCUGGAGCAGGCACAGUUGAGGCCUUGUCUGGGCCCAGACGAAAGGGAGCCCAGGCACAGCCUGUGCCUUGGGGCCUAGGAUGGAGGAGGACCUGGCACAGUUGGGGCUGCCUGUGGUCCCAGGAUGGAGGAGGACCAGGCACAGUUGGGGCUGCUUUGGGGCCCAGGAUGGAGGAGGACCAGGCACAGUUGGGGCUGCUUUGGGGCCCGGGCAUGUGGGAGGCUUAGCACAGCCAGAGCCUUGUGGCUGCACUCCCUCUGUACAGUUCAACCUUGAUCCAUAAUCUGAAAUGGUAACUGUAGUGAAAGGCAGUAGCUGAUCCAGCGGCUUUCUUGUGUUUUAAUUUUCCUAUGAGUGGGGAAG